rnacentral:rRNA from 1 species
GUGGGGAAUAUUGGGCAAUGGGCGAAAGCCUGACCCAGCAACGCCGCGUGAAGGAAGAAGGUCUUCGGAUCGUAAACUUCUAUCCUUGGUGAAGAUAAUGACGGUAGCCGAGAAGGAAGCACCGGCUAACUACGUGCCAGCAGCCGCGGUAAUACGUAGGGGGCAAGCGUUGUCCGGAAUGAUUGGGCGUAAAGGGCGCGUAGGGGGCCUGGUAAGUCUGGUGUGAAAGUCCUGCUUUUAAGGUGGGAAUGGGUUUGGAUACUGUCGGGCUUGAGUGCAGGAGAGGUAAGUGGAAUUCCCGGUGUAGCGGUGAAAUGCGUAGAGAUCGGGAGGAACACCAGUGGCGAAGGCGACUUACUGGACUGUAACUGACGCUGAGGCGCGAAAGUGUGGGGAGCAAACAGGAUUAGAAACCCCAGUAGUCC